rnacentral:rRNA from 1 species
UAAUACGAAGGGGGCUAGCGUUGCUCGGAAUUACUGGGCGUAAAGGGAGCGUAGGCGGAUAGUUUAGUCAGAGGUGAAAGCCCAGGGCUCAACCUUGGAAUUGCCUUUGAUACUGGCUAUCUUGAGUUUGGGAGAGGUGAGUGGAACUCCGAGUGUAGAGGUGAAAUUCGUAGAUAUUCGGAAGAACACCAGUGGCGAAGGCGACUCACUGGCCCAAUACUGACGCUGAGGCUCGAAAGCGUGGGGAGCAAACAGGAUUAGAUACCCUGGUAGUCCACGCCGUAAACGAUGAGUGCUAGUUGUCGGCAUGCAUGCAUGUCGGUGACGCAGCUAACGCAUUAAGCACUCCGCCUGGGGAGUACGGUCGCAAGAUUAAAACUCAAAUGAAUUGACGG